rnacentral:rRNA from 1 species
UACAGAGGGUGCAAGCGUUGUUCGGAAUUAUUGGGCGUAAAGCGCGUGUAGGCGGCUUUGCAAGUCGGGUGUGAAAUCCCGGGGCUCAACCCCGUGACUGCAUCCGAUACUGUCAGGCUAGAGGUAGGUAGGGGAGAUCGGAAUUCCUGGUGUAGCGGUGGAAUGCGCAGAUAUCUGGAGGAACACCGGUGGCGAAGGCGGGUCUAGCUGGGCCGAU